CUAUACUAUAUGUGUCUGAUUCUUGAUAUAGUAUAUGAUUAUGCUUGUGAAGAAAAAAACCCGUCGAUUUAGGAAAAUUGAAUUAAAUUUUGUGAGGAUUAUAAUUUUCCAGCAGUAUCACAACGAGGUCACAUGUUGACUAACUAGAUGAUGAUUUUAGGUUUGACUGGAUUGGGUGAAUAGACAAGGCUUCACAGGCUACAGCUGGAAAACGUAGGCAGGACAAGAAGGACAGACGGCCUGCAAAACUGCUUCAAGUAAAGUAGUCAAACAUGGAGAGCAUGCUCUAACAAUCGACAUGUGUUUAUACCUUUUGCAUUUGACAUUUUUUGUUUCCUAGCACCAGAGGUUGUGAAUAUUUUGAAAAGAGUUCACAAUGUGAUACCUCCUAGAUCUCAAGAUGUAAUGUUUAAGAGAAUUAAUUUUGUCAUUCAAAAAGAAUUAGCGACGCAAUUUGUUGUCCGUUAGCCUUUCAUUAAAUGAGAAUUUGAUUACUUAUUUUAAA